rnacentral:rRNA from 1 species
CCUACGGGAGGCAGCAGUGGGGAAUAUUGCGCAAUGGGGGAAACCCUGACGCAGCAACGCCGCGUGAGUGAGGAAGGACUUCGGUCUGUAAAGCUCUGUUAAUGUGGAAAAAUGGUAGUUGGUCUAAUAGGCCGAUUAUUUGAUGGUACACAUAGAGGAAGCACCGGCUAACUUCGUGCCAGCAGCCGCGGUAAUACGAAGGGUGCAAGCGUUGUUCGGAUUUAUUGGGCGUAAAGCGCGCGUAGGCGGACCUGUAAGUCAGAUGUGAAAUCUCGGGGCUCAACCUCGAAACUGCGUCUGAAACUGCAGGUCUAGAAUCUCGGAGGGGGAAGGGGAAUUUCGCAUGUAGGGGUAAAAUCCGUAGAUAUGCGAAGGAACACCAGAGGCGAAGGCGCCUUCCUGGACGAGUAUUGACGCUGAGGCGCGAAAGCGUGGGGAUCAAACAGGGUUAGAUACCCUGGUAGUCCACGCUGUAAACUAUGAACACUAGGUAUUGGAGGAUUUGACCCCUUCAGUGCCGUAGCUAACGCGUUAAGUGUUCCGCCUGGGAAGUACGGUCGCAAGCUAAACCUUAAAUGAAUUGACGG